rnacentral:lncRNA from 10 species
UAAAAGUUACUGCCCUAUAUGAGGUCCUCCAGGUGAGGCAGAUAACCAAUGGGGUUCCUGGAACUGCCAGGUAAGCCUCUCAGCUGGUUAUUCUCUUCUUUCCCUACUAGAACAUUCUCCACACUUUUCUUCCCUGUUCAGCAUCCAGGAAUAGGAUCCUUUCAGAUUGCCUCUCCCUGAUGUCCUUGCCUGCUGUUUCCAGGUAUGCUCAUCCAGUGAAAAGCACCAGAAGCACACAGGAGGGAAGACAGAGACACACCAGGACACCAGGGAUGCACACACUCAGAGAAGAGGCCAGGUGAGGGCACAAUGAGACGGUCAUCUGCAAGCCAAGCUCUGCUAAUGGACAACAGCUGUCCUGUGGUCCCUGUG